GACGAACGCUGGCGGCGUGCUUAACACAUGCAAGUCGAACGGAAAGGCCCUGCUUUUGUGGGGUGCUCGAGUGGCGAACGGGUGAGUAUCACGUGAGUAACAUGCCCUUGACUUUGGGAUAACUUCAGGAAAAUGGGGCUAAUACCGGGUAGGAGCUCCUGCUGCGUGGUGGGGGUUGGAAAGAUUCGGCGGUGGGGGCUGGAUUCGCGGCUUAUCAGCUUGUUGGUGGGGUAGUGGAGUACAAAGUCUUUGACGGGUAGCCGGCCUGGGAGCGUGACCGGGCACAUUGGUACUGCGAUACGGCCCAGACUCCUACGUGAGGCAGUAGUGGGGAACAUUGCACAAUGGGCGGACGUCUGAGGCGGCAACCUCGGGUGCGUGAUGACGGCUUUUUGGUUGUAAACCGCUUUCGCCGUUAACGAGGCCUGAGUGACGGUAACGGGUCAAGAAGCACCGGCUAACUACGUG
rnacentral:rRNA from 1 species